UACGUAGGGGGCAAGCGUUGUCCGGAAUGAUUGGGCGUAAAGGGCUCGUAGGUGGCAUGUCAAGUCUGAAGUGAAAGUCCUACUUUUAAGGUGGGAAUUGCUUUGGAAACUGGCAAGCUUGAGUAUAGGAGAGGUUAGUGGAAUUCCUAGUGUAGCGGUGAAAUGCGUAGAGAUUAGGAGGAACAUCAGUGGCGAAGGCGACUAACUGGACUAAAACUGACACUGAGGAGCGAAAGUGUGGGUAGCAAACAGG
rnacentral:rRNA from 1 species